GUAGUAUAGAAAUAAGUUAUAUUAGUUGGGAGUUAAGGAAACAUAAGAGGGGUAGUUAAUUUUAUAGGUAAAAUUUGUUAAAUUAAUUAAUUCUUGGUUGGAAACUUGAAGCUUUGAAAAUUAAGGUUUAAACUAGGAUUAGAUACCCUAUUAUUUUUAAUUGUAAAGAGGAGAAGCKGGAGUAGUAGUAGUUAAGAMCUUGAAAYUCAAAGAAUUKGGCGGKGUYUUAKUCUUUUCARAGGAAUCKGUCCUGUAAUUGAUAAUMCMCGUUAAAKGUUACUUAAUUUGGUAUAAYCAAUUUGUAUMCCSCCGUCWUAARAUUAUCUUUUUARARAAAGAAUUUUYUAGAUAUUAUAAGAUAUAAUGCCAGGCCAAGGKSCAGUUUAUAAUUAARAAGGAGAKGGAUUMCAAUAAAUUUAUUUAAAKGGAUUYUUAUUGAAAGAUAAGGUUGAAGGUGGAUUUGAAAGUAAUUUUGUUAAAUUAUGAUAAAAUGAUUUAAGCUCUAGGACAUGUACACAUCGCCCGUCGCUCUCGUUAUUAAGAUGAGAUAAGUCGUAACAUAGUAGUCGUACUGGAAAGUGUGGCUAGAAAGUCAA
rnacentral:rRNA from 1 species